rnacentral:misc_RNA from 1 species
AUGAAACAGUUCCUGACUGAGAGCUGCAAUUGAUCACAAUAUCAUUAGGCCCGCCUAGCAAAAUCAUGCGGGAGCAGAAAAGCGAUGAAAGAAAGAAACACAAGGGAGGGGAAGGGGAAAGAUGCACUAACAACCAAGGCUGUCAAAUGAAAGAGCUGACACAACACAAACAACAAGGGCUGUCAAAUGAAAGGGUGACAACACAAACUAUAAGUUCCCAUGUCUGCAAGUGGUUUUGGAGAACUAGCUGCUAGGUGGUCAAUAAAAAGCAUGACUAAACCAAGACACAAGCACAAAGCAUAAAAAUAUAACCCAGUGAUAUCCCAGAAUUAUAAUAAUAAAACAAUAAGUUGAGCACAAUCCUAGUCAAGAAAGAUGGCAAAUGACGUUAAUUAAAAUGGCGGAUAGAUUCAAGCAUUUAUCUAAAAAAAUAUAUGUUCACAACAUGAGCCCAUGUCACACUAACUGACAGGACUCCCAGCAAGGUAAAAAAAAAGGAUAAAGGGAACAGGAAACAGGAUAUUGCAGAAUAAACUUAUUGAAGGGACAGGCGUAGAAACAUUUUUCUUCUCAAGAUUUUUUUCAACAUUCUAGGUAAUGCACCAGGAAACAAGCACAAAAAUAGGUGCAUGAUUAUGCCUCCAAUAUCAAGUCAACCAACAAAAGUUCCAACAGAGACAUAAUUCGCCUGUAUAAAAAUUAAACAUUUGAAAUUGAAAUUCUAUUUGAAGUUUGAACUCCUAAACUUCAACUCCUGCUGCUGUGAUUCUUAUAACUUAUUGGUUAAAUUGACCUCCAAAUCAUCAUUCAAAUCAGUACCCCAACGUUAUGUUCAUCUUGUCAGUUACUUGAAACUC